CUGACUGUGCAAAGGUAGCAUAAUCAUUUGGCCUAUAAUUGAGGUCUGGUAUGAAUGAAAUUUUGGGUAGUAACUGUCUUAAUAUAUUUUUAAUAAUUUAAUAUGCAAGUGAAAAUACUUGCUUUAAUAUAAAAGACGAGAAGACCCUAGAAACUUAUAUUAUUUUGUUGGGGCGACAGGAUUACAGUUAACUAAUCUUACUUAACGUGACGUUAAACAGUUAGAAAAAGUUACUCUAGGGAUAACAGCAUAAUUUUAAAAGUUUGUGACCUCGAUGUUGGACUAGGUAUACCCCUCUUUAGAAGAGAGAA
rnacentral:rRNA from 1 species